UGUCCAGUAGCAGCUUAGAGACCAACUAAGUUUGUUCUUGGUAUAAGCUUUCGUGUGCAUGCACUGAGAACAAACUUAGUUGGUCUCUAAGGUGCUACUGGACA